rnacentral:rRNA from 1 species
UACGGGGGGGGCAAGCGUUGUUCGGAAUUACUGGGCGUAAAGGGCUCGUAGGCGGCCAACUAAGUCAGACGUGAAAUCCCUCGGCUUAACCGGGGAACUGCCUCUGAUACUGGAUGGCUUGAGAUUGGGAGAGGGAUGCGGAAUUUCAGGUGUAGCGGUGAAAUGCGUAGAUAUCUGGAGGAACACCGGUGGCGAAGGCGGCAUCCUGGACCAACACUGACGCUGAGGAGCGAAAGCCAGGGGAGCAAACGGG